rnacentral:rRNA from 1 species
GAUGAACGCUGACAGAAUGCUUAACACAUGCAAGUCGAUGGGGAAGUGGUGCUUGCACCAUGGUAACCAUGGCGGACGGGUGAGUAACGCGUAAGGAACUUGCUUGCGGGACUGGGAUAACAGCAGGAAACUGCUGAUAGUACCGGAUAAGGUCAUUAAGCUACAUAGCUUAGUGAUGAAAGGAGACGCCUGCGGAGAGCCUUGCGUCCUAUUAGCUAGUUGGAGGGGUAACGGCCCACCAAGGCGAAGAUAGGUAGCCGGCCUGAGAGGGUGGACGGCCACAAGGGGACUGAGAUACGGCCCUUACUCCUACGGGAGGCAGCAGUGGGGAAUAUUGGACAAUGGGGGCAACCCUGAUCCAGCAAUUCUGUGUGCACGAAGACGGUUUUCGGAUUGUAAAGUGCUUUCAGCAGGGAAGAAGGAAGUGACGGUACCUGCAGAAGAAGCGACGGCUAAAUACGUG